AGUGAACGCUGGCGGUAGGCCUAACACAUGCAAGUCGAACGGCAGCACAGUAAGAGCUUGCUCUUACGGGUGGCGAGUGGCGGGCGGGUGAGGAAUACAUCGGAAUCUACUUUUUCGUGGGGGAUAACGUAGGGAAACUUACGCUAAUACCGCAUACGACCUACGGGUGAAAGCAGGGGAUCUUCGGACCUUGCGCGAUUGAAUGAGCCGAUGUCGGAUUAGCUAGUUGGCGGGGUAAAGGCCCACCAAGGCGACGAUCCGUAGCUGGUCUGAGAGGAUGAUCAGCCACACUGGAACUGAGACACGGUCCAGACUCCUACGGGAGGCAGCAGUGGGGAAUAUUGGACAAUGGGCGCAAGCCUGAUCCAGCCAUACUGCGUGGGUGAAGAAGGCCUUCGGGUUGUAAAGCCCUUUUGUUGGGAAAGAAAAGCAGCAGGUUAAUACCCCGCUGUUCUGACGGUACCCAAAGAAUAAGCACCGGCUAACUUCGUG
rnacentral:rRNA from 1 species